rnacentral:lncRNA from 1 species
AAAAGCAGAGGAUCUCUGAAGAGGAUGUAUGAAGACCUGAUUUUGCACUUAUAGGAGAAUCUGAACAUCAUCAUCAAUUCCUUUUGCUCGUAGCAUCACUAUGUUUCAGCACUAAAAGAGACAUUCCUGAAAGAUGAAUUUCAGUCUGGCAUGCUGAACGCGCUGUUCCUGCGGCUGCUGCGAUUGCUGACCAGAGAUUCUGAAGGAAGAGAGUGCUUUAAUACAGCGGUGGCAAGGUUGAAGAAUAAAGGCAUGGACCAUGCACACUG